UACGAAGGGGGCGAGCGUUGUUCGGAUUUACUGGGCGUAAAGGGUGCGUAGGCGGCGCGGUAAGUCGGGUGUGAAAUCUCGGAGCUUAACUCCGAAACUGCAUUCGAUACUGCCGUGCUUGAGGACUGGAGAGGAGACUGGAAUUUACGGUGUAGCGGUGAAAUGCGUAGAUAUCGUAAGGAAGACCAGUGGCGAAGGCGGGUCUCUGGACAGUUCCUGACGCUGAGGCACGAAGGUCAGGGGAGCAAACGGG
rnacentral:rRNA from 1 species